UCUUCAUUGGUCUAGUGGUCAUGAUUUCCGCUUGUCAAGAGUAAAAUCUCGUCAAGCGCGGGAGACCGGGGUUCGAUUCCCCGAUGGAGAG
rfam:Aureobasidium pullulans var. pullulans EXF-150 unplaced genomic scaffold scaffold_12, whole genome shotgun sequence.